rnacentral:rRNA from 1 species
UACGAAGGGUGCAAGCGUUACUCGGAAUUACUGGGCGUAAAGCGUGCGUAGGUGGUUUGUUAAGUCUGUUGUGAAAGCCCCGGGCUCAACCUGGGAAUGGCACUGGAUACUGGCAAGCUAGAGUGCGGUAGAGGGUAGUGGAAUUCCCGGUGUAGCGGUGAAAUGCGUAGAGAUCGGGAGGAACACCAGUGGCGAAGGCGGCUACCUGGACCAGCACUGACACUGAGGCACGAAAGCGUGGGGAGCAAACAGG